rnacentral:rRNA from 1 species
GAAGAAAGAGGGAGGAGGGAUGAACACAUGCAAGUCGAACGGUGAAGCGCCUUCCUUUUUGGUGGGUGUGGAUGAGUGGCGAACGGGUGAGUAACACGUGAGUAACCUGCCCCCUUCUUCUGGAUAACCGCAUGAAAGUGUGGCUAAUACGGGAUAUUCUGUGUCUGUCGCAUGAUGGGUCUUGGACAGAUAUUGUUUCGGUGGGGGAUGGGCUCGCGGCCUAUCAGCUUGUUGGUGGGGUGAUGGCCUACCAAGGCGGUGACGGGUAGCCGGCCUGAGAGGGUGGGCGGUCCUGCUGGGACUGAGACACGGACAAGACUACGACGGGAGGCAGCAGUGGGGAAUAGUGCACAAGGGGAGCCAGCCUGAUGCAGCGACGCCGCGUGAGGGAUGGAGGCCUGCGGGUUGUGAACGUCUUUCGCCAGUGAAGCAGGCCUGCCUAGUUUGUGGGUGGGUUGACGGUAGCUGGAUAAGAAGCGCCGGCUAACUACGUG